UUUCUUCAUCUUAUCUCUAAACACAGAGAAAAAUCUCCAUCGCUCCCGCCACUCCAUUUCCAUCUCCAUCUCCAUCGCCUACACCACAACCAUCACCUCCACCUCCGCCACCAUCUUCAAUUCAAUUUAGAGUGAGUUUUCGUCGGAAUAAUCGAGAGACGAAUGAAUUUUAACUGGAGAUAAGAUUAGCCGAAGAAUCAACUGAGAGUCUGAGAUCGAGAGAAAUUCAUUAUUAUCAGCAGUUCAUCAUGAAGAUUUAUGAGAGAUCUCUUCUUACGAAUCACUUUCUGUUUUAAUGUUGUGGUAGUGGUGGUGGUGGAAGGUGUUAAUGCAGCGCUGCUAGUCGAUUUUGCAGUAAUAUUACUUGGUGAUUGUUGUUCUUGUUCUGGUGGUGGUGGAUGUUUGUUGCAGCAGGUUAUGGUGGUGGCUUUCAUUUCUUAUCCCCCAUUUUUACAGUUUUGGGUUUUUGUUUUGGAUAUGAAUGACAGAUUCAAGUUUUCUACCACCAUUGCUGUAUGCAAUUUUUGGAAGUUCAAGACAUUUAGGAGUUGGUCCUGUAUCAAUUGCAUCACUAGUAAUGGGUUCUAUGCUUAGAGAAGUAGUCUCACUAACUGCAGAGCCAAUUAUAUAUCUCAAAUUGGCUUUCACGACAACCUUCUUUGCUGGCGUAUUCCAAACAUCUUUGGGUCUGCUUAGUGAUUGAUUUGGUGUGUACAAAAUGGAGAGAGUUUGCCGUGGCUGGUGCUUAGAAGGUCAAGGUGCUGCGGCUGGAGUUUGCUAAUGUGGUUGAGCUGAUUGUAUUCGUGGAUGGAGGUAAGCAACAAAGAUGGGAAGUAUGUGAUUUGAAUCAGUUGUGGAGAUGGACUGGCUUGAUUCUAGUUAGAUUUUGGUACCUACAAAGUGGCUGGAGCUCGCAAGAGUUCUGUAAUACCAAACUGCUGAGGUCCGUAUUAUGAGAAGCUGGUGGCUCGAUGAUGUACGAUAUUGGAUUGACUGAGAUGUAGCUGGAUAGUAGAUGAAGGUGUUGUGCAAAUAAUGAAAAUUGGCCAGUGGUGUUGAACCGAUGAAGUAAUUUAUAUCAGCUAUGCUCUUUUAUAAAGAUUAAGGACAUGAAGAAUUGAGGUGGGAAGAUUACCAGUUGGGUGUUAAAGGUAACUCUUUUACUAGUUCUGCACACUUCGCAACAUCAAAUCAGGCUGUAUCACGAGGUGGUUAUCAAAGUUCGAAAUUUCCUAAAUGGGGUUCUCAAAAUAUAUUUGGAUUUCCUUCUUAUCCUGUAUCCAGCUUUGUGCCUCCUAGAAAUGGGAUCAACUUCGGUUGUUGACACCACCAACGACAAUGGUGGACUGGUGGUGGGCGGUGGUGGACUGGCGGCGGAGGACUGGCGGAGGGUGGUGGAGGACUGGCGGCGGCAGUAGCAGUCGCGGUGGUGGUGGAUAAGUUUUUCAAAUGAUAGGGAUAUAUUUAUUGAUGUACAAGGAUAUAUUUGUUGGGUAUCAAAACUAAAAGUAUAUAAUUAAUGUACCUGUAAUAAUUCCCCAGUGUAUGGCCAAGACACAACCUUUUUUGGAUGAAUAUAUGAUGAAUGCAUUAUC